GCAUAUCAAUAAGCGGAGGAAAAGAAACUAACAAGGAUUCCCCUAGUAACGGCGAGUGAAGCGGGAAGAGCUCAAAUUUAAAAUCUGGCAGCAUUAGUUGUCCGAGUUGUAGUCUAGAGAAGCAUCAUCCGCGCCGGACCAUGUACAAGUCUCUUGGAACAGAGCGUCAUAGAGGGUGAGAAUCCCGUCCUUGACAUGGACUCCCGGUGCUUUGUGUUGUGCUCUCAACGAGUCGAGUUGUUUGGGAAUGCAGCUCAAAAUGGGUGGUAAAUUCCAUCUAAAGCUAAAUAUUGGCGAGAGACCGAUAGCGAACAAGUACCGUGAGGGAAAGAUGAAAAGCACUUUGGAGAGAGAGUUAAACAGUACGUGAAAUUGUUGAAAUGGAAACGCUUGAAGUCAGUCGCGUUCUCUGGGAUUCAGCCUUGCUUCUGCUUGGUGCAUUUCCUAGUCUACGGGCCAGCAUGAAUUUUGACCGGUGCAAAAGGAUUUGGGGAAUGUGGCACCUUCGGGUGUGUUAUAGCCCCUUGUCGCAUACGCCGGUUGGGAUUGAGGUCUUAGUGCACGCUUCGGUUGUGCUUUGAUGCUGGCGUAAUGGCUUUAAACGACCCGUCUUGAAACACGG
rnacentral:rRNA from 1 species